AACAUCAAAAACAUCGGAACAUUUCUCUUUAAGGUUUUACUCUCGUUUCUGCCUUCUUUCACACGAUAGCCUGUGUCACCGAACCCACCGUACUUGUUUUACCUGUGUGCAAUAAACGAUGUCUCAAGAUCAGCUCAACGACGAGGCCCAGUGGACCGAGAUCGAAGAGGAGGCACCACAGGAGCGGGAAACCCCCAACACGCCUGACCAGGCUGAGGAUUGCAACGAGACCGCACCGGCAGAGGAGCAGGCUGAGGAUUGCAACGAGGCCGCACCGGCAGAGGAGCAGGCUGAGUAUUGCAACGAGGCCACACCGGCAGAGGAGCAGGCUGAGGAUUGCAACGAGGCCGCACCGGCAGAGGAGCAGGCUGAGGAUUGCAACGAGGCCGCACCGGCAGAGGAGCAGGCUGAGGAUUGCAACGAGGCCGCACCGGCAGAGGAGCAGGCUGAGGAUUGCAACGAGGCCGCACCGGCAGAGGAGCAGGCUGAGGAUUGCAACGAGGCCGCACCGGCAGAGGAGCAGGCUGAGGAUUGCAACGAGGCCGCACCGGCAGAGGAGCAGGCUGAGGAUUGCAACGAGUCUGAGCCGGCAGAGGAGCAGGCUGAGGGAGCCGCUGAUGGACCUGACCAGCGUCAGGAUCUGGGCAGUGAAGAGAAACCUGAACCGCCAUUUGAGGAGACACAGCAGGCCGAAGAGUGCCCAGAGGAUGUCGUCCCGCUUGAGGCUUCCGAGACUCAGGAGCACGAGACCCCUGGGGCCGAGGAGGCUUACGAGGGAGAGCGUGCCGAGCACUUAGCUCAGAAGUCUCACUCUCCUCAAUAUUACUUGGCGGACAGCGAGCCCCAAGUAAUCCCGCAGCAGGCCUGCGAGGAGGAGGCUCCCCAGGAGUAUCCGAAAGAGAUCGGCAAUAACUAUGACGCACCGCAGCACGCGUACGAGGUGGUGGCCCCGGACAACGCUCACGCCCGCUCGAUGCCUGCGCCGCACGCUGCCGCUGCCGCUACGCCGCCGAGCGCGAUCGUGAAGCCGCGGACGCGCAACGUGAAGAGCGUCGCGCGCUGGGAGGCGGUGGAGUAUGACCUGCGUGACGGCAGCGACGAUGAGUUCGAGCUGUCGACGUGCAUGACACCGGUAUACGAGGGCGAAGGUGAGGAGGGCAACGAGGAUGCGAGCGUGUUCAAGCACGGCGAGCCGGAUUGCAAGGGGGAGAUCAUGUCGUGCUUCGACGAGCCGAACCUGCUGUACCGGAUCAUUGACCCGAAGGCGAAGACGUGGUCGUUUUACAACGACAGCCUGCAGUACGAGAUGCAUGUGCAGUUCAUAUUUGGCAAGCACUCGAAGCUGCAGCCGCUGGAGAACACGACGCUGCGGCAGAACGAAGAGGGCCAAUACGUGAUGGAGGUGGUCGUGUACCCGACGGAGACCGAGAUGUUUUUGCAGGGCACCGUGAACGGGUUCACAAGCAAGCUGCGCGCUGUGCCACUGACGGAGGACUACCAUAAUGCGCGCCGCGGGAUCACGGAGGAGCUGGUGAACAACGAGGUGGCUGCGAUCCAGCAGGUGACGAGCAGCGACAACGCGGAGGACGUGCUGCAGGCGUGCAUCGACAGCGGGAUCCCAUUCGUGGACCCCGAGUUCCCGCCGUGCCAGGCGUCGCUGGAAGCUGGCGCGAACAAGCCGUUCAAGCCGUUUGCGUGGGCACGGCCGCAGGCAUGCGUGCCGGAGGAGAUGGCGUCGCAGGUUCGACUGUUCCGCGCGAACGUGAGGCCCGGCUGUGUGGACGCUGGCGACCUCGGCGACUCGUGGGUGAUUUGCUCUGUUGCGUCGGUGUCGGAGGACCCUGCGCGGCUGAUGGGGAUGUUCCGCCACCCGGAGGGCAAGGCUGCGGCACAGCGCGAGCACGCGGUUGGCGCGUACCGCGUGACGUUCAACAAAAAUGGGUGGUGGCGCAGCGUGCUGGUGGACAGCUACCUGCCUGUGUCCGGCGGCAAGCUGAAGUACGCGAAGAGCGCGACGGACCCGGCGGAGAUCUGGCCUGCGAUCCUGGAGAAGGCGUACGCGAAGCUGCAUGGCAGCUACGCGAGGAUCUGCUCCGGCGACCCGCUGCACGCGCUGCAGGACAUGACCGGGUUCUCGACGAUGCGCUUCGACGAGUUGCUGACGGACGACAAGGCGAGCGACCAGCUGUUCAGCGACCUUGUGCAUGGGAUUGCUGCAGGGUACACGGUGAUCUGCAGCACACCAGGGCGCGGGCCACACGACAAAGACCAGGAGCUGUGCGAGGCGUACGCGCAGGUGGGGCUUGUGACCGGGUGCGCGUACACGAUCCUGGAGGCGAAGCACAUCGAGAACAAGGACCUGCGGAUGGUGAAGGUACGCAACGCAUGGGGGCGCGGUGUGGAGUGGAGCGGCAGCUGGGGCAACGACGACACGAAAUGGGACGCGAACCCAGAUAUCGCGGAGGAAUGCAACUUCCAGAAGGCGGCGAAUGGGAUGUUCUGGAUGUCGUGGAAGGACGCGCGGAAGUACUUCAACGGUGGUGGCGUGUGCUUCACGCACCAGCCGGCGUACGACUACCGCAUGAACUGCGUGUUCACGGAAGGCGUGCCGUCCGCUGUGCUGGAGAUCGAGGUGCAGUCGCCUACGUGCUUCACGUUUGUGAUUUCACAGGACGACAAGCGGUGCCAGGUGAACGCGUCGGAGUACAAGCCUGUGAUGAUCAGCAUUGCGGAGCCCGUGGAGGGCGACAUGUACAAGGUCGUCAUGAAUUCCUCGGCGAACGGCGCGCGGCCGACGUCGGACAAGUGGAUGUUUCUUCAGGCACGCGACGUCUCACUGAUCCACAAGCUGGACGCUGGGAAGUACAUUGUCGUGCCGCGCAUCAUGCCGUCGGAUGACCCAGUGGAGCCUGUACCGUACGUUCUGGGGAUGAUCUGCAACAAGGAGGUUGGCAACGGCGACGUGAGCGUGAAGUUUAAGCGCCUGGACGCUGGCAACCGCGUGUUCGAGAACUUCCCGAAGUUCGAGCCGGAGCUGAUGGAGGUGGAGCAGCCGGUGCAGUACCAGAAGCGCGCGCCGGGCGAGGCAUUCCCGAUGACACAGAUGGGGGAGGAGGUGAUGUAGAUGUGUGUUCCCUCCUCACGAUUGCUGUGCUGUUGGUGAGGCGAGCAGAAACACAAAAGUUCUGACGCUAUUGAUCUGCGCAGACAUCCUUGGCUUCUCGGCAAGGGAAACGGUGUAGGAGCGCACCCUCGUAGCAUAGUUUUUGUUUGGUGGCACUCACUGUUUUUCGGGCUUUUGCGUGGCUGAUGUGGGGCAUGCCAGACAUGUUGCAGCACGUUGAGGUGUAACGGGAAGCUGGGGUGGCUGAAGUGGAACGUAUACAGCUCUGAUGACGUUGCAGGUGCCGCUUUGUUUUGGCGGAAGCUUACAACCGUCGACGUUCUUUUCACUCGAAACCACUGUACGACUUACGCAUGGAGUUGCUAGCAGAAAACAGGUAGGACAACAGCAACAGGAGUGGGUGUGUGAGUACAUUAUUCCCGAUUGUGGUUCUCUUUCCUCCUUUUUGCUCUGAACCAUGUGCACAUGUACAUAGCUAAGCACACUGUCUUCGUUUCUGUUGUUUUUGAUUGAUUGAAUUUUGUGUGUGCCCUUUUUUUAAUCUCCUUCGAGGCGUGUACGGGCCUGUGGGCCUCUGGUACUUCUCAUGCGCUCCGCAUCUGCAAGGAGAAAAAAAAAAACAACAGCGGUACGAAGAGUUACUGGAUUGUGACGGCGAAACCGAUGUGUUGCUGGUCCAUCUCGAAUUCAUCUCUCAGACGCAGUGCACUUGCUUUGGACGUCGCGGUUGUUUUCUAGUCUCCCUCUUUUCCCUACUUUAUUCUCUCCCAAUGUUUUUGCUUUCAUUUAGAGUCUCGGUUGCCUUGUUUUCCUUGUGUGUAGUUUAUUUUUCCUGUAUUUUGCCUCAUUCUGUUUUUUGUUACUGUUAUUAUUUUUGCUUUGCCUUUCCCAUCUACGCCUUUUUUGUUUGGUCGUCGUCGUCUGCCACCAUCACGCCUCGCUUUUCUGUCUUACCUUCCUUUGUCACCCAGCAGUUUUUCUUUUCUGCAGUUCGCGGAGGAAAUGAACAAAGAAGCUCGAGAAACGGAAGUGCUCUUCUGUUCUUUUGUCAGUCCCUCAAAGAAACGCCAAUAAGAAUGGCAUCGAUAUAUCCGUUCGAUGAGGUGAUGCAGCUAACCUUGAUUAUUUUUUUUCGCCAGCGGUCCAUAAAGAUGUGGAUCUUACUCUAUAUAUCUUCUCUCUUUGUUCUUGGCACUGGAUUGAAGGGGGAAAAAGCGGAAUAAAAAACAAAGAGGAGCAGGAUAGCCCUUCACAAUGCACGUUCGGGUGCUUACACUUCCAGCUCACGUGCUAUUUUAUCUUGCCUGCUCUUUACCGUAUGCGCACGUUCUUUCAGCCGCCCCUCUCGUUGCUCAAUCUGGUUGCCUCAUUUCACGUGUUUGGAGACCUCUUCACCAGUUUCCCCAGGCGGUGGAAGCGCAGAGGCAGAAGUGCCAGAGAGUGCGUCAUAACGACGUAGAAGGAAGAGUGCGAUUCGAAGAGAGGAGCACACGAGCUUUCGAGUGGAGGACUAAGUGCUUGCCUGGCGAGGUGCACACCCUUCUGUUCCGACAGGCAGGCGCUUGGCUUAUUCCCUUGAUACGUUUUCUUUUCUUCCUCUCCUUUGUUUUUGGUUUCGCAAUACUAUGAACCUUCUGCUUUUGUCUGUUUUCUUUUUCAUACGCUUGCAUGCGAGAGUGCGUGUUUAUGCGUGCGCGCCUGCAUGCGCGCGGACUUUUGAUAGUACUGAUUUCCAUUGUUUAAUGUGCACAUGUUUUGUGCUCUUUUGAAAAGAGGAAAAGGCGUGCCGGACUGGCAUCGUAAGAAGAGUAUCGGCGAGGCAACAUCUUUGACAAUCGGGAAGCAAACACGCAGACUAGAUAUAUUGCCUCUCUUCACUCUUUUUUUCGGACUUGUCUUUUUUCCCACAUGGUUCACCGAACCCAAACGCGGCGAAAAAAAGAGAGAUGGAUUACCUGAAGAGUCCAUGCUCAUGAUACAUGACGGCCGCACACAUACACGCACGCACACGUGAACCGAACGGUAAGACCAAAGGAAAAAGGUCUUUACUUCCCCACUUUCAAUAGAAAGAAUGAAAGUUACCCACCUUCCGUUCCUCUUUACGCCCUUUUUCUAUAUGUGACUAGUGCGGAAGGGAUUACUUUCUCGACCCUGUGUAGGGCCAUUCCGACCCCCUACUCAUCGGUCUCAGGAAAGUAGCCUUGGCUUCUUCCAAAAGAAAAACAAGGCC
rnacentral:misc_RNA from 1 species